AUCAUCGGCGCCUUCCUCUCCGACGCCUACCUCGGCCGCUACCUCGCGCUCGCCAUCGCCUCCGUCGCCUCCCUCAUCGUAAGCGCAGCGAUCCAUCUCCAGUCCACCCCUCUCGCUCGUUACCUGCUUAAUUUGAGGGACACCGGGGUCGGGUCCGAGCUAGCUAGGCCGCCGGCGGCGGGUCGGAAUCAGUUCGGGGGUAGAUGGAAUGGAAUUCGGCAUGCUGUUGCUGCAGGGUGUUUGACGGGUUCCUUCGCGUACCGGAUCACCAGAUUCAGUUUUGGCGAUGUCUCUGUCUCCCGGCUUGUCACGAGUUGGACCUCACUCUCGAGGGGCCGAGCUGUUCUUCGUUCCUUUUUUU
rnacentral:lncRNA from 1 species